ACAAAAACUUAAAGCGCCUUUCCGAUCUCCCUAACGUCUCAACCAUCCAUUAAUCUGUUCCUUACUCCGAGUUUUUUUCGUGAUUGAUCCACUUUUCUCACUUGAAGCAUUCAAUCUACCUCUUCGUAUCCCACAGUAACCGGCUGAAGUUUCAGCUAUAAAUAUAGGACAUCUAUGAUGUACAUUUCAACUCAAAUGAUCCAGAAACAUGCUUUUCCUAGCAACCGAUUCCGAUGGCGAUUUCAUACGUUCUCCACUGAAAACAAUUGAAGGCCGAGUGUUGUCGAGAAAAUGUGCAGACAAGGCUCCUCCGAUUUUGGGAAGUCAAGAAUGUUAAGAAAGGAAUGUAUGUUGAUAUGGUCCUUAUUGAUUCGCUACGCUUAUCCAAGGGUCAAUCAACAUCCACCAUCUUAACACUUUCAAGAAUAUCGUGCAAGAAAGGCUCUGCGUAUGAGCUACGUGUUCUCGAUAUUGCAUGAAAUAAGUUUGUUGAAGCCCAUGUGUCAAUUAGAUUCACGGACCAAACUGUGAACUGAUCCCCAAGGAGUGUUUUAGGUUUCGCAAAUACGAGCAGCUCAUGUUACUAGCCAAUACAGAUGCUUAUUUCCCAGGUUUUAAUAUUGAAAUCCCUAAACGAUCACUCCAUAUUAUGAGUGUACAUUUUACAGAGAAUUAGCCCUAAUAGUUGUAUUGGUUAGAAUAUAUCGUUGGAGAAAUAGAGGCGUUAAAACCAUCUACAACAAAAAAGACUCAGGGCACUAUUGGCAACCAUAAGGCUUCAUAUUGUAUUUGUGCCUCUAUUUAGUACCCUUAUAUAUAUAUAUAUGUGCGUGCUCUGUUAUAAACGAUGAUUAACUAAUUUUUUCCACUUUUGGGACACUCAUGUAUGCUUGAGUGUUUUUGACAGGCUAGCUGCACCUUGAUAAAAAAAUUACUAGAAUCUGGUGUUGAACCAAGGGGGUCGUUGCAACAAAUAUAUACCCAUAACUUGUUGGAGGGAGGUUGUUUCUGAACGCUACAUCGGGAACAAAUUUAUGUUUUGACAACAAGUGUGGAGCGAGCAGUAGAUUUCUCAAAAACUAGGAUAUUCAUUGCAAUCAAGAGCACAAUCAACGACGGUAAACAGGGGACACAACGUGUAAUGCUGACUCUACGUCUAUAAAGGCUGGUUAUUUCUCAACGGCACUUCCGGAACCUAUGUCUACUUUGACUCUGAGACAGCAUUGUGAAACCCAAUGAAGAUUGUUGAUCUGUUUUCUUGGGGAUGGUUAUGAAACCCAGGUCGGGCUUUUCCAAUCUUUGAAAUUAUAGGUUUCUUCAAAUAUUUGGAAUGUCAUUGUAAACUUCAAAACAGAGGUUGUGGGAGUUUUAGUGUGCAUGAUUGGUUACACUGUUUCAAGUCGAGUUAUGUUAUUGUAACUGAAAUAUUUGUCUUUAUAUGCUUACAUGAAAGGUUUACAGUGAUAUAGUAGGAAGUUUUAUUAUGUUGCUCCUAAAGUAGAUGAAAUUACAGAAAGGAGAUCGAUGUUUGGAGUGUAUGGAUUAUUUUAU